rnacentral:rRNA from 1 species
AUUGAACGCUGGCGGCAUGCCUUACUCAUGCAAGUCGAACGGCAGCACGGGAGCAAUCCUGGUGGCGAGUGGCGAACGGGUGAGUAAUAUAUCGGAACGUGCCCAGUAGUGGGGGAUAACUGCUCGAAAGAGCAGCUAAUACCGCAUACGACCUGAGGGUGAAAGGGGGGGAUCGACAGACCUCUCGCUAUUGGAGCGGCCGAUAUCAGAUUAGAUAGUUGGUGGGGUAAAGGCCUACCAAGGCAACGAUCCGUAGUUGGUCUGAGAGGACGCGCAGCCGCACUGGGACUCAGACACGGACCAGAGUCCGACAGGGGGCAUAGGUGUGUAAUAUUGUACAAUGUGCGCAAUCGUGAUCCAGCAAUGCCGCGUGCAGGAAGAAAGCCUUCGGGUUGUAAACUGCUUUUGUCAGGGAAGAAAUCCUCUAGGUUAAUACCCUUGGGGGGAUGACGGUACCUGAAGAAUAAGCACCGGCUAACUACGUGCCAGCCGCCGCAGUAACAC